GUGUCAGGAUAGCUCAGUUGGGAGAGCACUAGACUGAACAUCUAGCAGCCCCUGGUUCAGGUCCAGGCAAUCCACACA